CAGCCGCCGCGGGAACACAGAGGGUGCGAGCGUUAAUCGGAUUUACUGGGCGUAAAGCGUGCGUAGGCGGCUAAUUGAGUCGGAUGUGAAAUCCCCGAGCUUAACUUGGGAAUUGCAUUCGAUACUGGUUAGCUAGAGUGUGGGAGAGGAUGGUAGAAUUCCAGGUGUAGCGGUGAAAUGCGUAGAGAUCUGGAGGAAUACCGAUGGCGAAGGCAGCCAUCUGGCCUAACACUGACGCUGAGGUACGAAAGCAUGGGGAGCAAACAGGAUUAGAUACCCCGGUAGUCCCUGUCUCUUAUAC
rnacentral:rRNA from 1 species